GGAGGGAACAUUAUGAUUAUCAUGACAGUUCUUUGUUAUUUUCAGUAUUCAUUACAUCAGUAGCAAAUCUGGCGUUUUUUUUUUUUUUUUUUUUUAAGAUUGAAAUCUGAAAGCAUAAGUUCCUGGUUCAAGUACUGUGCUUUCUAGAAGUCUGCAACCUACAUACAUACAUACGUUCUGGUGAUGUUAAUAACCUGAUUAAACAAUCAAAAAUGUGAUGGUUGCUUGGCAACAGAGGUAACAGAUCAUUAUUAAGAUUAGUGCUUCAUUGUACACUCAUUCAGAUAUCCUAAGAGCUGACUCCCCUAUGCCAUCUUAAUUCUUAAAAGUUUAUACUGGCUCAGUGUACGUUAGCUAAGGAGUUUUCUGGAGAAAAACCAUCACUAACAAGUAAAAGGGCAGUGCCAUUGCUGUGUUAGGGCAGUGAGAAACACUGCUUUAUGAAAUGGCUCAUAUGGGUAUAAAUGUGUUUAUGUGCUUGACCGCUGAUGCCAUGGUCUUUGUCAGUAUACCACUGCAGGAAAGAAAAUACAGAGACUGUUACCUCUAGCUAUGUACAAGUCAUAAAUCAAACUGUAGACAUAAAAGCAGAUAAAAAAAAUUCAGCCAUCCAACAUGAGGCUAAGUCAGCAGUCAAAGACAAUCAUAGCAGGGACAGAAAUCCCUGCAACUUCCUGCUUUCUGUGUAGGAAAUACACCAGCUAUUUACGCUAGAAGUACAAAAAAAGUACAUUACAUGUAAUGUAAGCUAGAUGCAGCUUCUUGGUUCAGUAUAGUGUCCCUUCUCACCACACUGUUAUCCCUGCUGAAGGACAGACCAUACAGUGCGCUUGGCUUCAUUCAAUUUCAUUUAUCCACUGUUCCUCAAGGGCUGGGAACAAGUAGGAAAGGAAGCACAGCUACCUUAAUCUGGGAAUUUCCAUGCACAGUGUAAGACUGGGCAAAUAACUGCUCUGUCUUACAAGUCCAACAGGGACUCCAAAAGUUUAUCUUGGGUAAAGAAAUGGACUUAGCUGAAGUUUACUUUUCCUUAUAUAGAAAGUAUACUAUUGAGUGAGCUAUUUCUAAGACUAGGACUGGCUUCGCUGUUUUGAGAAUACAGAAAAAUAAAAUGAAUGAUCAAAUACCAGAAGAAACUACAUUAGUUUUUGUUCUUGUAUAGUAGAUAUAUGGAGAGUUAAUGUUAUGAUUUAAAUUACUGAACAUGAAAUACAAAUACGUAAGCUUUGUUUUAAGUUGGGAGCUGUUUUCUACCUAACUAGGGGGAGCUAUUGCUAUCAUUCUCAUAAUACAAGUCUAUUCAUAUGAAAAUAAAUACAACACAACCAUACCAUUGCCUGAAAAUCCACUUCAGCAUCAACAAGAGCUUUGGAAAUCUGAGCUGCUUGCUGAAAGUGAACAUUAUCUGAAAAAUGGAAGAAAAAAAUGGAAAAGGUAAACAAAAAUUGUUUCUGUACGACUAUGGGGGAAAAAGCAAAACAAUGAACACAAACUCCCCAGCACUGCUGCCUGAGACACAAAUUAGGAGCAUAAAGCUGUAUUAUUUUAUUGACGUAAAUGUAACAGCCUUGCCCCUUCAUGCUUUUGUUUUGUCAGUAGUAGAAUUGCAAACCUGUCUGUAAUACUAAAAUGUCUAAUUAACUGUAACUCACCAUCUGCUGUUCCAUGGAUAAGGAGAUACUCAACUUCCUUGAAUUUUUCAGCUCUGGCCAUUACCGUUGAACUCUGAAAUUAAAGAAAAGGAAAAAAGAAAAAAAGGUGCUAUUUGUUAGAUGAUUAUUUGCUACCAACUGACUUUGAUUCCAGUUGACAUAGUCUGGUGUUCUUCAGUUAAAAGUAACAACCCUUGCCCUCCUCCCCCAAAGUAGCAUAUUCACAUAUCCAACAGCACUGUGCUCACACUCGAACCAUUCUGCACCGGUGUGCAAUUAUUACCAAAGGUUAUAUCUGUCUGCAAAAUGACAAGCAAGUCCAGAGGGGGAGAGUUUUGUGAGUGAGAUACACAUUUAAUGCUUUGCUAGCAUGUUGUUAGCCUGCAGCACACCACUUACCAUUGGUUUUCUGUGCUACUGCAGGCAAGUUAAAAAUGUUGCCAUGGCAACAGUGCACCCUAUGAUAGAAAGGAGACGAUAGUACAGACUAUACAUGUUAUUUUCCUCACCAACAUGUAUGCUAUAGUCUACCUGUAGCUAAGCCAGCAGAGCUUGUAUAUAUGUAUGUCGUCAUUCUCAAGUAAAUACAUCUCAGAAGUUUAAAACAGUGACCUCC
rnacentral:lncRNA from 1 species